rnacentral:tRNA from 1 species
AGCAGUGUGGCUUAGUAGGUAGAGCGUGGGCCUGGGAGUCAGAAGGGCAUAGGUUCUAAUCCUGUCUCUGCUA